rnacentral:lncRNA from 8 species
AUGGAGUUGGCGACUGAGCAGAGGAAGGAGCCAGAGACUGUCAGGGAGGCAAUGGCGAAGGGAGAGAGUGAGAUGAGAGAGUUGUUGUGCAAGUGUGUUCUGCUCAACAUCCGACCAGAGGAUCCGGUUAGCAGUCUGGUGCAACCUGUGCCGGUUCCACGCUUCUGGCCUCAAGUGCGCCUCCCCAGUCCGGUACGUCAUGUGCAUGUUCCUCGCACUCUUCCUGAAGUGCGUGUUCCCAGUCAGGUACGUCCUGUGCCUGCUCCUUGCACUCGCCCUGAAGUGUGUGUCACCAGUCUGGCGCCACCUGUACCGGUUCUACGCAACAGGUCUCCAGUGCGCCUUCAUAGCCCAGUGCGUCCUGUUCCAGUUCCACGCACCUGCCCUCCAGUGCGCCUCCCCAGUCCAGUACGUCCUGUGCCUCCUCCCCGCACUCGCCCUGAAGUGCGUGUCACUAGUCCGGUACCACCAGUGCCAGCCCCACGCACCAAGCUUCCGGCGACGGUUCCCAGUCCAGAGCUUCCGGCGACGGUUCCCAGUCCAGAGCUUCCGGCGACGGUUCCCAGUCCAGAGCUUCCGGCGACGGUUCCCAGUCCAGAGCUUCCGGCGACGGUUCCCAGUCCAGAGCUUCCGGCGACGGUUCCUAGUCCAGAGCUUCCGGCGACGGUCCACGGUCCGGAACCUCCAACGACGGUCCACGGUCCGGACCCUCCUGAGACGGUCCGGAACCUCCAGAGACGGUCCACGGUCCGGGACCUCCAGAGACGGUCCACGGUCCGGGACCUCCAGCUUCAAGGCCAGAGUUUUCUGCUUUGGUGUCCAGGCACAGCGUCCAGUCCCGCUCCAUGGCCGGAGCCUUGCCCUGCGCCGAUGCCCAGUCUAAGCACGGCGUCCAGUCCAGCUGCAAGGCCAGAGUCUUCUUCUGUGUUGGUGCCCAGUCAAGGCACAGUGUUCAGCCUGGGUCCAUGGCUGGACCCGCAGGAUGAGAGGGUUCUUCGGCCCGCACCAGAGCCGCCACCGACACCCCCCCAACCCUCCCUUUUUGUUUCAGGUUUUGCGGUCGGAGUCCGCACCUUUGGGGGGGGUUUACUGUCACAUCCUGACCAUAGAGAGCUCUUAUUUUCUAUGGUAGAGUAG